UAGGGAAUCUUCCACAAUGGACGCAAGUCUGAUGGAGCAACGCCGCGUGAGUGAAGAGGGUUUUCGGAUCGUAAAGCUCUGUUGUUGGUGAAGAAGGAUAGAGGCAGUAACUGGUCUUUAUUUGACGGUAAUCAACCAGAAAGUCACGGCUAACUACGUGCCAGCAGCCGCGGUAAUACGUAGGUGGCAAGCGUUGUCCGGAUUUAUUGGGCGUAAAGCGAGCGCAGGCGGAAUGAUAAGUCUGAUGUGAAAGCCCACGGCUCAACCGUGGAACUGCAUCGGAAACUGUCAUUCUUGAGUGCAGAAGAGGAGAGUGGAAUUCCAUGUGUAGCGGUGGAAUGCGUAGAUAUAUGGAAGAACACCAGUGGCGAAGGCGGCUCUCUGGUCUGCAACUGACGCUGAGGCUCGAAAGCAUGGGUAGCGAACAGG
rnacentral:rRNA from 1 species